rnacentral:rRNA from 1 species
UAGGCGUAAAGAGGAGGAAGGAAUGGGCAACGGUAGGUCAGCAUGCCCCGAAUUAUCUGGGCUACACGCGGGCUACAAUGGGUGGGACAAUGGGUAUCGACACCGAAAGGUGAAGGCAAUCUCCUAAACCCAUCCGUAGUUCGGAUUGUGGGCUGCAACUCGCCCACAUGAAGCUGGAAUCUGUAGUAAUCGUGUCUCAAAAUGGCACGGUGAAUAUGUCCCUGGCUCCUU